AAUUGUUUUUGGCUUUCCGGUGGCAUCCGGCAGAGGAAAAGGGCGGGGGCAGCUAGAUUACUCCACAGGAUCCACUGAACAUAGGAUGUUGCCACAAAAUCUACCUCGUGUAUUUUUCUCUUUCACUCAUGAGCUGCACAAUUGCAGAUUUGAGCACAAUGUCUGCAGACUGUGUUGAAAAACUCUGAAGAACCUAAUUAACACAGGAUGACCUAGGAGUGAUUCUAAGUCUGUGUAACAAGAUAUUACUCAUUAGUGAAUGUGUCAUUCUUGGUACUGAAUGCUGCAGAUAACAGCAAGGCCAUGUUUAUGAGUGGACUAAGUGAAAGCAAACAAACCCAUGUACACCUGAGGAAUGUCGAUGCUGCCACCUUACAGAUAAUAAUAACUUACGCAUACACGGGUAACUUGGCAAUGAAUGACAGCACUGUAGAACAGCUUUAUGAAACAGCUUGCUUCCUACAGGUAGAAGAUGUGUUACAACGUUGUCGAGAAUAUUUAAUUAAAAAAAUAAAUGCAGAGAAUUGUGUACGAUUGU
rnacentral:sRNA from 1 species